GAUGAACGCUGGCGGCGUGCCUAAUACAUGCAAGUCGAGCGAACAGACGAGGAGCUUGCUCCUCUGACGUUAGCGGCGGACGGGUGAGUAACACGUGGAUAACCUACCUAUAAGACUGGGAUAACUUCGGGAAACCGGAGCUAAUACCGGAUAAUAUAUUGAACCGCAUGGUUCAAUAGUGAAAGACGGUUUUGCUGUCACUUAUAGAUGGAUCCGCGCCGCAUUAGCUAGUUGGUAAGGUAACGGCUUACCAAGGCAACGAUGCGUAGCCGACCUGAGAGGGUGAUCGGCCACACUGGAACUGAGGCACGGUCCAGACUCCUACGGGAGGCAGCAGUAGGGAAUCUUCCGCAAUGGGCGAAAGCCUGACAGAGCAACGCCGCGUGAGUGAUGAAGGUCUUCGGAUCGUAAAACUCUGUUAUUAGGGAAGAACGAAUGUGUAAGUAACUAUGCACGUCUUGACGGUACCUAAUCAGAAAGCCACGGCUAACUACGUG
rnacentral:rRNA from 1 species